UUGGUGGUCAUAGCAAUGGUGAUAUAUUGUCUGAAGAAAUUCAAAUUCUCGGUUCCGGUUAUGCUCACGUCGACGAUAAUCUCAUCCCCACCGGAAAAAUCCUCUCCGUUAAAGGAACAUCAUACGAUUUUCUCAAACUCCGACCUAUUAAAGAUAACAUCAAUGAGAUUAAGCUAGGGUAAAAAGUUGCAAAUAAAAUAUAUAUUUAUAUAUACUAUUUUCUAAUACUAUAUAAAAUGUUAUUUUGUUGUAAUGCAGGCACGGUAUAAAUUAUUGUCUAGACGGUGUUGCUAACCAGAUGAGAAAAGUCGUGGUGCUUGUGGACAAAAAAUCGAAGAGGAAAAUGGAGUUAUCUACAGAUCAGUCAGGUCUGAAGUUCUAUACUGGAGGAAGCUUGAAGACAAUGAAAGGAAAAAACGGAUCGGUUUAUAAAGCUUACUCCGGUUUAUGUUUAGAAACACAAAGUUUAUCCAGUGCAAUCAGUAAUCAGUAUCUUCCUUCGCAGAUAGUUAAACCGGGUGGAAAAUAUAAGCAUACUUUGCUCUUUAAGUUUUCUAUUGUUCCCUAAACUUUGUAACUUUCUGGAAG
rnacentral:lncRNA from 1 species